rnacentral:lncRNA from 1 species
UUUUUAUUCGGUUUAUUAAAUUCCAUUUCUAUUUCAUUACGGUGGUUCUUAUAUUUCAGUUCUUGAAGUUUGCAUAAAUAAUUGAAACAGAAAUUAAUAUAUGGCCAUUUGAUUUUCCUUUACUUUGUGAAUUAAUUUCAUACUGAGAGCAUAUAUUUUCUGUGGUAUUUUAGAGAACACAUGUAGUUGAGUGUUGGGUUUUAAAAUGCAACACCUUGAAAAUUGGCACCAAAAUGAUAAACCUGUUUAAGUUUAAAUCAAAAAUAGAAAAUAGUGAAACAUUUAGGUGCCUUGUACUCGACUUUUAUUGAUUGGUUUUACCAAGAUUCCUCCUUUCUUUCUUUUCCAGGUGAUUCUGAUAUUAUCAAAUCGCUUCCCGGUGAUCAGUGAUUUUUGUGUCAUUGAGAACGUUAGUUUAUUUAUUUUCUUUUGCACCUUUUCUUUUCAGCAAAGGUAAAAGUUGCACUGAUUUUAAAGUCCCCAGAGUAGCUACCAACUUUAAGCAUUAAAAUUGUAUUGUUGAUAACCAGAUUUUGUCAAUGUCUUUGAGGUUUUAUGUAGAAUGCU